rnacentral:rRNA from 1 species
ACGGAGGGUGCGAGCGUUGUCCGGAAUCACUGGGCGUAAAGGGCGCGUAGGCGGCCGAAUAAGUAGGGGGUGAAAUCGUGCGGCUCAACUGCACGGCUGCCUUCUAGACUGUUCGGCUGGAGCACGGUAGAGGCAGAUGGAAUUCCCGGUGUAGCGGUGGAAUGCGUAGAGAUCGGGAAGAACAUCGGUGGCGAAGGCGGUCUGCUGGGCCGUUGCUGACGCUGAGGCGCGACAGCGUGGGGAGCAAACA